rnacentral:rRNA from 1 species
ACUCAGAUCACGUAAUAUUAUUAAAAGUCGAACAGACUCCCCUUUUUUAACUCCUCCACCAAAAAUAAAAAUUAAUUCAACAUCGAGGUCGCAAACUUAACUAUUAAUAAGAACUUGUUAAUUAAAUAACGCUGUUAACCCUAGAGUAACUUCAUUUUUUUUUCUCACUAAUUUUUGAUAAAAAUUUAUAUCUUCAAAAAUUGCCCCAAUCUAAAAAUUUAUUUAACAACUUAAAAAGCUUCUAGGGUCUUCUCGUCCCAAGAAUUUAUAAAAGCAUUUUUACUUUUAAUUAAAAUUCAAAUUUAUAAAAUAAAACUUCCUUUUUAGUCUUCU